AGAGUUUGAUCAUGGCUCAGGACGCACGCUGGCGGCAUGCAUUAUACAUGCAAGUCGAGCGAACAGAUGAAGUGCUUGCACUUCUGACGUUAGCGGCGAACGGGUGAGUAACACGUAAGGAAUCUACCUAUAAGCGGGGGAUAACAUUCGGAAACGGGUGCUAAUACCGCAUAAUAUCUUCUUCCGCAUGGAAGAAGAUUGAAAGACGGCUCUGCUGUCACUUAUAGAUGACCUUGCGGUGCAUUAGUUAGUUGGUGGGGUAAUGGCCUACCAAGACGAUGAUGCAUAGCCGACCUGAGAGGGUGAUCGGCCACAUUGGGACUGAGACACGGCCCAAACUCCUACGGGAGGCAGCAGUAGGGAAUCUUCCGCAAUGGGCGAAAGCCUGACGGAGCAAUGCCGCGUGAGUGAAGAAGGCCUUCGGGUCGUAAAACUCUGUUAUAAGAGAAGAACAAAUUGUAGAGUAACUGCUACAGUCUUGACGGUAUCUUAUCAGAAAGCCACGGCUAACUACGUGCCAGCAGCCGCGGUAAUACGUAGGUGGCAAGCGUUGUCCGGAUUUAUUGGGCGUAAAGGGAGCGCAGGUGGUUUCUUAAGUCUGAUGUGAAAGCCCACGGCUUAACCGUGGAGGGUCAUUGGAAACUGGGAAACUUGAGUACAGAAGAGGAAUGUGGAACUCCAUGUGUAGCGGUGGAAUGCGUAGAUAUAUGGAAGAACACCAGUGGCGAAGGCGACAUUCUGGUCUGUUACUGACACUGAGGCUCGAAAGCGUGGGGAGCAAACAGGAUUAGAUACCCUGGUAGUCCACGCCGUAAACGAUGAGUGCUAGGUGUUGGAGGGUUUCCGCCCUUCAGUGCCGCAGUUAACGCAUUAAGCACUCCGCCUGGGGA
rnacentral:rRNA from 1 species